rnacentral:lncRNA from 1 species
UUUGAUUAGGAAAAUAUUUUCCCCUAAUUAAUUUUUCUCAGUGCUCCAAACGCCAAAAAAUGUGAAAAAUAUUUUUCUAGAAAAUAAUUUUUGUGAAACACACGCAGCGUAAAAUAGAGUUUAUUUUCCCUCAAACAAAAAGCAACUACAGACGUGCUUUAGUCUCUACCAAAACUCUCUCAACAUAUAACCAAAUCUGUGAGAGGGGUUGCUUCUUAUAGGUGACAGCCCCUCUCUCCUUUCCUUCUCUAGAUCUUUCUUUGUUUUUCCCUUCUUUUUCUACUUUCAUAGAUUCCUGCAUUUUAGUUUUGUAUUUUCUUCUAAUAACUCUUAAAUGUAUGCCAUUUUGAAAAGAUGCUGAGAAUUUAUUCUCAUAUCUGCUCUUUGAUAAAAUCUAGAGUUUAUCUCUCCCUGUUAGUGGGAGUUAUUAUAUAUUGUUUAUAGUUGUUAGGAAUGGUACCAAGUAGGGAACCUGCAAAUUCAAAAUAACCUAAACCCGUUUAUAUCUAUAACACCCAAACCCAUUAAGAAAUUAGUUUCCAAGUGCAUCCGGUCCAACCCAUUUAUCAUUACCUGCACACUACCCAAAUCUACCAGAACACAAUUACCUUUAACUAAUUUUGCUGAAAUGUUGAUCACAAAAUAGAUUUAUGCGUUAAAUUAGCCGGACCGAAAACCAAAUCAUUAAAAAUGACUUUUUAAAAAGAACAAAUAAUGAAAUUGAUCAUAAAAAAAAAAUAUAAGUGAAGUUAAAGUUGAAACAAACAACAUUAAUAUAAUUCUAAAUGAAGCGUAACCCUUCUAAGUUCAUAAACAUAAUAAUAAAUAUAAAAUUUAAACAUAAUUGCAAUAAAAAGAAGCUGAAAGACAUAGUUAAUUUAAAUAAAACAAAAAAGCCAAACAACAGCAUAUUAGAAAUGUUAUCACAAAUUACAACACGGAUCUAAAAGAUACUUUAAAGCAAGAUGGUUCCUUCAAAGCCUUCAGCAAAAAAAUCAUUAUCACCACUAAGGGAUUCCCACAGAAUCUUAACAAUAUCAGUUAGUCCUGAAGACUUAAAUUUGAAGGCACAACAAAAAGGUAGCGACAAUAGAUGGUACAAUUGCGUUAUGGACCUGAGAGCUGAGGUUUUAAUUUGAGUGGAAAAGUUGCUGGAAUUUUAGCAGCCAUAAUAAUAUAUCAGGGGAAAUUUAUAUUUCAGCAUUUUCCCUUUUUUUCUGUUUAAUUUUUUUUUUUCUGUGUAAGAGUCCUUGAAAACCAUUUUCCCGAUAAAUAUAAUGAAAUAAAUCCCAGUUUUCUCAUCCAUAUAUCCUUUUGCUUGAGAGAAACACUUGACGAACUCAGAUAACAUCAGACCCAAUGGAGCAGUACAUAAGGCUAUGAAUGGAUUACCUCUAAUAACAUAUAAAAAAUAAGACCCAUUAAAAUCAUGACACGUGUACAUGUGAUUCAAAAGGGGUAUGCGAACCUUUCUAUCUAAUUGGACCAGACAAUAGAAAGCCCCGACCUAUUGAGUAUAACAAAUCAGACCACCGACACCCUUGAAUUUACCAAAGCCCAGAGUAGAUAAACCAAUCUCCUCAAAGCCCGAAUAAAACGGACAGACCUCUUCAAAACUCAUACUACAACAAGGCUUUGAACAUAGAUGUGGCCGACUUCAGUGACCAGAAGGAACUAACCUUCAUAUAGGUCGGAUGAACCAGACACGACAUGAUGAAGCCAGCCGACCUCCCACGUACUGGUCGUCUCUUGGUACGGCACAAGGUUGGUACGGCACAAGGUUGGUACGGCCCAAGGAUUAUAAAUGUGCGUGCUGACUGUACGAAUUGGCCAGCUCCAUUUUUAUUGCCCUGUCGCUUAUUAUUAAUGGGUCGACUGACACACCUACACAAAAACAUCCCUAACCAGUAGGAUGGGGACACAACACCAGGGGUGUAGCUAUCAGAGGUAUAUAUAUCACUUGUUGGAAAGAAUAUUCUGCCAUAAUUAUAAUUAAUCAGUGAUUAACAUUACCAUAGUUAGCAUAAUUCUAGGCGAUAAUUGAUAGCAUAAUCAUAGGCAUAAUUGAUCAUAUCUUGUACUAUAUAAUCCUUAUAUCCUAUUACACAAAAAGAAAGAAAAUGAAAAAUAUUUUUCUUUCUAUAAUUCUAGAUGGUAUCAAAGCGGGUUUCGAUCUAAAAGUUUAGCCGAUUUUUCCUGCAAUCAUCAUUUGCAGGAAUACCUUUCCCAACCUUCUCUAACCGAGAAACAGCAAUGGCUGAUUCUUCUAGCCAAGAGUCCAGUCGGUUAUGGUGAUUUUAAGAUUUGUUGGUUUCUGAUAUGCAUUUUGGCUAUUUUUGGCUACACGGUCUUCACAUUCCUAAAUCACAUCGCACUAAACUUGAUCCGUGUGCUCUUAAGUGUGUGUUCCUCGGUUAUGGUGUCCAUAGAAAGAGCUAUUGGUGUUUUGACCCAAUCUCUCUAAUAGACUCUUCACCACUAUGGAUUGCACUUUUCUUGAAGACGAGUAUUUUUUCUCCUCGCCAACUGGCAGUGAGGGAGAGAAUACAGCAAAACCACUACUUCCAAGUUGGCUUAGCUAUACUGAGGGAGAGUCAGAAAAUGUACAGUCCUCAAUCUCAAUGCCACAUCCAGAGCCUGCCACCGUAGAAUAUCAUGAGGAAUACGCCAAUGAGGUAUAUGAAUAUGAACCCUCUCCUUCCUCUAAUAACUUUACCACUGAACCCAUCUCCCUUGAGUCUCCUGAAACAGGCCACUAUGUACUACCCCCUCAGAGUAACAGAGAAGUUCCACCCAUGAGGUAUGAUCCAGAAUUCAAGGUAGCAAGAUCUAAGUAUCCUAUGGCAAAUAUUACUAGAGGAGAGAAUCUAUCACCUCAGUUUAUCACACUACAAAAAAAUAUUUGCUUAGAAUGGAUACCAAAGGAUGCCACAGAGGCCUAGAAGGACAAGAGAUGGAUUGAAGCAAUGGAGAUCGACAUGGAUGCCUUGGAGAAAAAUAAAAUCUGGGAGAAAUGCUGGCUACCCAAGGGAAAAUGACCAGUGGGAUGCAAAUGGGUGUUUACUGUAAAGUAUAAGCCGGAUGGAACGAUGUAGAUAUAAAGCCCGACUGGUAGCAAAAGGAUACACUCAGACCUAUGGAGUCAACUACUCCGAAACGUUCUCUCCAGUAGCAAAAAUUGAUACAAUACGAAUCCUAUUCUCUCUUGCUGCAAACCUAGACUGGCCACUUCACCAGUUUGAUGUGAAGAAUGCUUUCCUGCACAGCAAUCUGAAAGAGGAAGUUUACAUGGAUGCUCCACCAGGGUUCACGAGUGGAUAUAGACGGGGAGAAGUGUGUCGAUUAAGACGAGCCUUGUAUAGGUUGAAACAGUCUCCCAGAGCAUGGUUUGGGAGAUUUACCCAAGCAAUGAAGAAAUAUGGAUAUCGGCAGAGUAACUGUGAUCACACCCUAUUCUUGUGGAGACGAGGAAGAAAAAUCACGUGUUUGAUUAUAUACAUGGACGACAUGAUUAUAACAGGAGACAAUGUGGACGAGAUCAAACGGCUGAUGGACAAUUUAUUCCAAGAAUUUGAGAUGAAAGACCUGGGGGGUUAAAAUACUUCAUUGGGAUUGAAGUUCUCAGGUCAAAUCAGGGAAUCCUAAUAUCACAAAGAAGAGAAAAUACAUCCUUGAUCUGUUAGCCGAAAAAGGAAUGAUAGACUGCAAGCUGGUUGAUACUUCAGUAAUGGUCAAUCAUGAGUUGAGCAAAGAUUCAGAAGGACCAGCAGAUAGGGGAAGGUACCAAAGACUGGUAGGAAGGCUGAUUUACUUAUCACACAUCAGACCAGACGUGGCGUAUGCUGUGAGUUUAGUAAGUCAGUUCAUGCACGAUCCAAAACAAGACCAUAUGGAGGCAGCAUUGAGGAUUGUUCAAUAUCUGAAAGGAACAGCUGGGAUGGGCAUGUUGUUUAGUUCAUGCACGAUCCAAAACAAGACCAUAUGGAGGCAACAUGCAUUGAGGAUUGUUCAAUAUCUGAAAGGAACAGCUGGGAUGGGCAUGUUGUUCAAGAAGAAUGGUCAUCUCAAUAGCUGACAGACGAUCCACUUCAGGAUAUUUUACCUUCGUUUGAGGUAACUUGGUGACAUGGAAAAGUAAGAAGCAAAAGGUGGUGGCACUGUCCAGUGCUGAAGCAGAAUUUAGCGGAAUGGCAAAAGGACUUGCAGAGCCACUAUGGAUCAGAAAGUUGAUGUUUGAGCUUGGAUUUCCAUCAGGGGACGCAGCUGAACUUCGUUGUGACAAUAAGGCAGCAAUCAGCAUUUCCGAAAAUCCUGUUCAACAUGAUCGAACAAAACAUGUUGAAAUAAACCGACAUUUCAUCAAGGAAAAGUUAGACAAUGGUUUGAUAUCAUUACCGUUUGUUCGACUGAACGAAUAUUCCAUAAAGUUUUGGGCAAGUUGGGCAUGUUGGAUCCACAUGAACCAACUUGAGGGGGAGUGUUGGAAAGAGUAUUUUGCCAUAAUUGUAAUUAAUCAGUGAUUAACACUACCAUAGUUAGCAUAAUCCUAGCAUGAUUCUAGGCGAUAAUUGAUAGCAUAAUCAUAGGCAUCUUGUACUAUAUAAUCCUUAUAUCUUAUUACACAAAAAAAAAAUGAAAAAUAUUUUUCUUCCCAUAAUUCUAGAUCACUGAUUUAAUCUAAAAAGGUGCCUCUUCUUCUUCUCCAAGGGAAAAAACCCUCUCCAGGAGAGGACGGGCUCCUCUCUCUCUUAGGCUCUUAGAAGCUUCUCCCUGGAACUCUUAAACUACAUGCUCUCCGGAAAUCCCUUUUGGAUGUUUUAUUGUUAUUUAUUUUCUCUUCACAUUAAUGAAUGAGAUAAUUCCAAAUCUAACUUGAGCGUCGAAAGGUAUUUCUAGUGGACCCCUUACCGUCUUUUUCUACCUUAAAGAUCCCUUACCGUCUUUUUCUGCCUUAAAAAUCCCUUUCCUCAAGAUAAGAUAUGGAGAGACCUAACGAAAUCAAUCACGAAGCAACAAUCAAUCCAUACCCAUUGAAUUGAGCCGCUGCUCAGGUAUCUGCAUCUAGACACCCCAUUGGAUAUCGCAUCAUAGAGUGGUGUCGUAUGUGGGAAAUGAAGGAGAUUGUCCUAUCACUGGAGUUUCCAAACAAAACCCAUUGAGAUCCACAUGACAAACCAAGAAAACCUAACAGUCAAAUAACAAGGUAGACCAAAAGAAAGAGAGAUGGUGAAAAGACCCAAGAAUCACCUGUAUCUAAAAUGCUGAUGUGAGAAGAAAAAGCAACUCGGAGCAAUCCAUCAACCAUGAAAAACGAGGAGUGACGUGCACCAGUUACCCAAGUUGUACAAUUACUUUCUUUAGCUCAAAGUAUUUUUGCUAUUAUGAACUAGUAAAAAAAUUUAAAACCUUGGACGAAAAGCUUUGUGUAUAUGAACCUGAAAUAUAACGGUAUACUGAAGUAGCUUAAAAGGCUCUUAUCUGUGAUUAAUAUUAGCAUGAUUCUACUGAAAAAAGAAUUUAAAGCAUGCUGCUAUAUGAUUUGAAAGCUGUGAAGGAAUUUAUGCAUGAGAAACAUUAUUUACUAGAUUUUUUAGAAUCAUAUGAGAUGAUAUAGUCGUACAAAAUUAAUAUUUUGCAUUCAGUUGAAAUAUAAAGCUAAAUAUCUUACUAUUUUAAAUUAACAAUGAGCAUUCUCGUUGCAUAUAAUUUGCGCAAGCCUUUAUUUUUCAGAAAAAAUUCAGAAGCAAGAAAAAGGCUAGAGAGUCAGAGCUAAGAGCCCGAAAAUCACUCAAGGAAAAAAAAAAAGGUUCGGAAGCCAACCCAGGGCUAAAAGUGCCCGAAAGUAAAAGAGCAAAUAUGCUCGAAGGCAAACCUAGGGCUAAAAGUGCUCGGAAGUAAACAAGCAAAAAUGCUCUGAAGCGAGUCUAAGGCUAAAAGAGCCUGAAAGAUGCACAAAAGAAAAAGUGCUCGAAAAGAGAGUCAAGACUAAAGAGCCCGGAAGUCAACCAGGCAAACCAAAGAGCAAAUCAGAGCUAAAAAGCUCGAGAAUACGGGAGGUAGAAAGCGCUCGGACGGAUAACCAAGGUUGAGAACCCAGAAGAUAACUUGAAGCUAAGGAUCUUACAUGCUACAGUGUUCAUUAAUCAAUAUUAUUCAAUCAACAAGGAACAUUCUCGUUACAUAUACUCUGUGCAAAUUUAUGUGCAAGCUCCAAUUUUGCACACAAAUUUAAAAGUAAGAGGAAGACUAAUAAGCCUGGGAGCCACAACUACAAAACGAAAAAGAAGCUCAAGAGGCAGGUGUCAGCCUUGGAAAUAGACCCCUGACACCAAAAAGCCGAAUUGAGGAAAUAAAGAAGCCCAAUGAGGUAGAUGCCGGCAUAAAAAUAGACUUCCGGCACCAAAAAGCCGAGUUAAGGAAAUAAACAAGCCCAAUGUGGCAAAUGCCGACCUCAGAAAUAGACCACUGGCACCAAAAAGCCGAAUUGAGGAAAUAAAGAAGCACAAUGAGAUAGGUGACGGCCUCAAAAAUAGAUCCCUAGCACCAAAAAGCCAAAUUGGGAAAACAAAAAAGCCUAAUCCAGACAAGGGCCAAACUCAGAAAUAGACCCCUGGCACCACUAAGCAUUGAGGAAUCAAAUAAAGAAGACCCAACCAAGACAGGUGCCGGACUCGAAAAAUUUACUCCUGGUACUAGGUAAACCAAGUUAAGGUAUAAAAUGAAUGAAAAAUGCAACCAUUAUGGAAUAACGCUUAAGGGAAAAAAGUCUGAAAAGCGCUUAAGAGGAAAAAUAGCCCGGAAGAGCAAAAAUGCUCGGAAGACGCUUAAAAGCAACAAUGCUCAAAAAGCACAUGAGGGCAAAAAUGCUAGAAAAAUACAAAAAGCCAUAGUAACCCCGGAUAAUGCUUAAGGGCAAAAAGACCAGAGAGCACCCAAGAGCAAAAAUCCUCGGAAGAGUAACCAGGGCUACAAAGCCCAUAAUAAGGCUUAAGAACAAAUAGCCCGAAAAGCGCUUAAGGGCAAAUAGCUCGGAAGGUUCAAAAAGCAAAAAUACUCAGACGAAGGUCCAAAGAAGCGCUUACGAGCCAAAGCACCCAGAUGAAAACCUAGGGCUAAAAAGAGCCCGGUCGAAUACGAAAAGCGAAAAGCGCUCUGACCAAAACUCAAGACUAAGAGCCCGGAAGAUGCUUAAAGAGCAAAAUGCUCGGACUAAGAGUCCAAAAAAUGAUAAAGAGCAAAAAUGCUCAGACUAAGAUCCAGGGCUAAAAGAUCCUAGAAGAAAACAAACAGCAAAAGCGCUUAGACCAAAAAUUAGGGCUAAGAACCCAGAGGAAGAUCAUAAGGAGCCUAAGAGCUCGAACAAAAAAAUCAAAGCUAAAGAGUCCAGAAAAAAAAAAAAAACUAAAACGCUUGCAAAAAUAUUCAAGGCAAAAGAACCCAAAAUGAUUUAGAAAAUCAAAGAGUUCGGACGAAUGUAUAGGGCUAAAGAGCACCGUAAAGAGUUAAAAUUGUCAUAAAAAUAGCCAGGAGUAAAAAACCCAACCCAGUAAAGUGCUAAAUCGCUCGUAAAACUAAUCAACUGAAACACUUAUUAAAAAAUCCAGGGUUACAGAAGAUGCCUCAAAGAAAAUAAUCAGAAGAAGACCCAAAAGGGCAUACCAAUAAGGAUAGGUCAAAAGGACAAGGCCGGAAAGGACAACUGUCAAGUCAAACCUCCCAUAAAGAAGACACGAAAGGACAAACUAUUAAGGUUAGGUCGAAAAGGCAAGGCUAAAAGGCCAGAGCACCGGGUCGAACCUUCCGAAAGGAAAACUACCAAGGUCAUAUUUCCUAUGAAGAAGACCACCAAAAUCAUAUCUCCCAAAUAGAAGAUUAUCAAGUAUAAAAUUUGCUCCCCUAGUUCGAUCUAUGCUAAAGUUGACUAAUUCAAUUCCCUUUGAAAUUCAUAAGCGUUACUAAAUGAACAGGCUGCUCCAAAUUAGCAUGUCGGGUUCCCUUUAUCUUAUGGUCAUAAAUAAUCAUAGAGAAGCGAAAAGGCAAUUGAUAACAUAUAAAAAAUAGGAUCCAUUAAGAUUAUGACACGUGUACACGUGAUCACAAGGGGUAUUCGGAUCUUUCCAUCUGGUCAGACCAGAUAGUAGGAAGCCCCGACCUAUUGAGUAUAGCGAAUAAGACCAGUCUGGAGCAAACAGACCGACCUCCUCAAAGUCCGAAGAAGAUGGGCAAACCUCUUCAAAACUCAUACUACAAUGAGGCUUUGAAUGCAGACGUGGCCGACCUCAGUGAACGAAAGAAACUAAC